UUUCGCAUUGGGCUUACGUGCCACAAUGCCGUUACCCACCGCAUGCAGCAAGUGCGUUUUACCUAAGCCAGUGCCGCCAUA
rfam:Enterobacter sp. 638, complete genome.